GUGACCUGCGGAAGGAUCAUUAAAGAGAGCCUCGGCUCCUUUUAUGCUUAUCACCACAUUGAUGUCCUGUCCUUUGUUGCUUCCGUCCUUGAAUGGCGGGCCGCGUGCCCGCUUGACGUGGGCGGAGGGUUUUUCAAUACUAUAUAUUCUUGCUUAGAGUAUUUAUUUGUCUGAAUAUGAGGGAAAAUGCUUCAAAACUUUCAACAACGGAUCUCUUGGCUCCUGCAUCGAUGAAGAACGCAGCGAAAUGCGAUAACUAAUGUGAAUUGCAGAAUUCCGUGAAUCAUCGAGUCUUUGAACGCACAUUGCGCCCCACGGUAUUCCGUGAGGCAUGCCCGUCUCAGCGUCAGUAAACAACAUCAAACUUUGGACUUAUGUCGAAGUUUGGACAGUGUCAGGGAAGUCGUUACCAACACAGUGACGGCCCCUUGGAAAUCCAUAGGUGUUUAUGCCGCCACGAAUGGAACGUGAUGAGAAUUCCUUCGUUCCAAAGUGGAUGGCUUGGGCCACCCAGAAACCCACAUGCUUUACGGCAUUGCUUCUGUCUUGACCUGAGAUCGGGUAGGGAUACCCGCUGAACUUAA
rnacentral:rRNA from 1 species